ACUCUGUGAAGCCGUGGUCUUCUUGCGCGGGAUAGGGCACCUGAGGAAGCGGGCUGCGCCUGUGGCACAGUGGUACGGGGCCGGAAGAUAACUUACCUGAAGAGGCGAUCAAUCCCUGAGAAUCGCGGGCGACCCGUUUUUUGUGUGCCCGGGUGCGGGGUGCCGGGACACGGCGUUGAAGGCGCUGAGCGGAGGGAUCUCAGGGCGAGCUCGAGCGGCGACGGCGCGCUCUGUGAUUGCACCGCGAGCGCCUGAGGUGAUCUCGGCCUACAUCGCGUCAGCGGGGCCUUGGGCGUGAGCACCGCCCCCUGUCCGGACGCAGGGUACUGGGGCACCUCGAACUGUGGCACCUCACCCUUCUCCGGGGCCACGUCUUGGGGACUCCGACAGCCCCAAAUAAGCCCUCGGGGACUGGGGUUGUGAAAAGCGAGGUCGUGAAGACGCCGGCCUCAUACCGAAGGGUAGGACGGUGAGGUCAGCCCCGUCCCACUCCAACUAAAAUCAACCUGACAGGUAUUAAUAUGCCACCAUGAAGUUAACAAAUGUUGGUGAUUAAGUAUGCUAGGUUUUACGAAAACAGAUUUUCCAAAAUAAAUGUACAUGUUUUAGGACGUCGCGAGCCGUUUGAGGCAGCAUUCCCCAAGGACGCCACUUAGUCUGUAGGUUUAGCGGCUAGAAAGAUUCAGAAGCUGAGUUCAGUCCUGCCGCCACAAUCAAUCUUCGCUCCUAUGGCUUCACAGAAGCGUCUCCCAUGACUACCAAAUUUAACUCCUUCCAGAUCACCCACGGGAGCACCUGACCGGAUUCAUUUAUUUAAUCAAUGUUAAGAACUAGGUUUUGUGCUAAGCUAGGGGAUAGAGCAGCGAAUGAGACAAAACUGCAAGGCCCUGGGGGAAUUAGUAGGAAUAUCCAGUGAAAGGGAAAUUAAUGAAUUUUAUAAGUAUACUAAUCAAGAAGUAUAUUCUUUUCCUUUGAGGUAGAAUGUAAUAUAGCACCUCCCCUACCCAAGGCCUGGGUUAAGAGUAUAUUAACUGCUUAUUUCUCCCCUAUGCGUGGAGAGGCUUAUCUGUGUUCCAUCGUUUCACAUUCCUUGAGGCACAGCGAGUUCUUGCUUCCCUCCCUAGCGCUGCUGUAAAGUCACAAAACUGAUUAGCAAGUGUUACAAAAGCAUGUAUUCCCAAGGACGUAAGACAUAUGGUGUAACAAAUGUAAGAGUAAUUUACUGCCUUUGUUCUUGCUUCUGCAAGUACACUUCAUGCAACACGUAACUCCCAACACAAACUGCUUAAAAGGUGAUUGAUCCCUUUGUUCGGGGCUCAGACUUUCUGGACCCUAGUCCGACUGAGCCGGUGAUCACCUUAAUAAUAAAGGCUCUCCUGAACUCUGCUCGGUCUCUCCCGUCUAUGAUUUGUCCCGCAACACCAGUUGCCUGCGGAACACCUCUACCUAGAGAGCUAACACUCAUCCCCGGUCAGUAAAUCCAAAACUAAACCCGUUGCCUCCUCCUACCAACCUGUCCCUCCUAUAAUGCCUGUGAAGAAAAGGCAUCACUGUGCACACUGUUGCCCUCUCCAUGCUUCAUCUAAUCAGUCAUCAGAUCCUAUAAUUCUACCACCUUAAAAGUUUCACCGUUUCUCGCGGUGGCUCACGCCUGUAAUCCCUGCACUUUGGGAGGCCGAGGCGGGAGGAUCACCUGAGGUCAAGAGUUCGAGACCAGCCUCACCAACAUGAUGAAACCUCGUCUCUACUAAAAAUACAAAAUAUUAGCCGGACGUGGUGGCAGACGCCUUUAAUCCCAGCUACUCGGGAGGCUGAGGCAGGAGAAUCACUUGAACCUGGGAGGCAAAGGUUGCAGUGAGCCGAGAUUGCGUCACUGUACUCCAGCCUGGGCAACAAGAGCAAAACUCUGUCUCAAAAAAAAAAAAAAAAAAAAGAAAGAAACUGUGAUAUAUAUAAAUAUAUAUUUAUAUAUUUAUAUAUGGAAUGGAAUGCUACGUGGUCACAAAAAGGAAUGAAUGAAUGGCAUUUUCAGCAACCUGGAUGGGAUUGAAGACUAUUAUUCUAAGUGAAGUAACUCAGGAAUGGAAAACAAAACAUCAUAUGUUCUCACUCCUAAGUGAGAGCUAAGCUAUGAGGAUGCAAAGGCAUAAGAAUGACACAAUGGACUAUGGGGACUCAGGGAAAGGGUGGAAGGGGGUGAGGGAUAAAAGAUUACAAAUUGGGUUCAGUGUAUACUACUCGGCGAUGGUUGCACCAAAAUCUCACAAAUCACCACUAAAGAACUUACUCAUGUAACCAAAUACCACAUUUCUUAAAACCCUAUGGAAAUAAAAAAUUAAAAAAGAAAAAAGAACCCAACAGUCUUCUAUUAAGCCAGGUGUAAAAGAGAUUUACAAAAAUCUAAAACUAUGCCAUUCUUCUCACUAAUAUUUUAUUUUUGAAAAUAUAGCUAUAGGCCGGGUGCGGUGGCUUACUCCUGUAAUCCCACCACUUUGGGAGGCCCUGGUGGGUAGAUCACAAGUUCAGGAGUUUGAGACCAGCCUGACCAACAUGGUGAAACACCAUCUCUACUAAAAAUACAAAAAUUAGCCAGGCAUGGUGGCGCGUGCCUGUAAUCCCAGCUACUCAGGAGGCUGAGGCAGGAGAAUCGCUUGAACUCGC
rnacentral:lncRNA from 1 species